GCAAGUCGAACGGUAACAGGAAACAGCUUGCUGUUUCGCUGACGAGUGGCGGACGGGUGAGUAAUGUCUGGGAAACUGCCUGAUGGAGGGGGAUAACUACUGGAAACGGUAGCUAAUACCGCAUAACGUCGCAAGACCAAAGAGGGGGACCUUCGGGCCUCUUGCCAUCGGAUGUGCCCAGAUGGGAUUAGCUAGUAGGUGGGGUAACGGCUCACCUAGGCGACGAUCCCUAGCUGGUCUGAGAGGAUGACCAGCCACACUGGAACUGAGACACGGUCCAGACUCCUACGGGAGGCAGCAGUGGGGAAUAUUGCACAAUGGGCGCAAGCCUGAUGCAGCCAUGCCGCGUGUAUGAAGAAGGCCUUCGGGUUGUAAAGUACUUUCAGCGGGGAGGAAGGGAGUAAAGUUAAUACCUUUGCUCAUUGACGUUACCCGCAGAAGAAGCACCGGCUAACUCCGUGCCAGCAGCCGCGGUAAUACGGAGGGUGCAAGCGUUAAUCGGAAUUACUGGGCGUAAAGCGCACGCAGGCGGUUUGUUAAGUCAGAUGUGAAAUCCCCGGGCUCAACCUGGGAACUGCAUCUGAUACUGGCAAGCUUGAGUCUCGUAGAGGGGGGUAGAAUUCCAGGUGUAGCGGUGAAAUGCGUAGAGAUCUGGAGGAAUACCGGUGGCGAAGGCG
rnacentral:rRNA from 1 species